UCAAACGAGGAAAGGCUUACGGUGGAUACCUAGGCACCCAGAGAUGAGGAAGGGCGUAGUAAGCGACAAAAUGCUUCGGGGAGUUGAAAAUAAGCGUAGAUCCAGAGAUUCCUGAAUAGGUCAACUUUUUGAACUGCUGCUAAAUCCAUGGGCAGACAAGAGACGAACUGGCGAACUGAAACAUUUAGUAGCCGGAGGGAUAGAAAGUAAAAGCGAUUCUUGUAGUAGCGGUAAGUGAAAUGGGAGCAACCUAAAUCGCGAAAACAGGGUUGUGGGAGAGCAAUAAAAGCAUCCUGCUACUAGGCGAAGCACUGAAAUGUCAAAUGCUAGAUGGCCAUAGUCUAGUAGCCAAAAGCACCGCUAGUUUACGCUCUGACUCUAGUAGCAUGGGGCACGUGAAAUCCCGUGUGAAUCAGCAAGGACCACCUCGCAAGGCUAAAUACUCCUAGGUGACCGAUAGCAAAGUAGCACCGUAAGGGAAGGGUGAAAAGAACCUCGUCGGGGAGUGAAAUAGAACAUGAAAUCGUAAGCUCCCAAGUAGUGGGAGGAGCCCAGGGCUUUGACCGCGUGGCUGUUGAAGAAUGAGUCGGUGAAUCAUAGGCAGUGGCUUGGUUAAGGGAACCCACUGAAGCCUUAGCGAAAGUGAGUCUUCAUAGGGAAAUUGUCACUGCUUACAGACCCGAACCUGGGUGGCUAUCCAUGACCAGGUUGAAGUUUGGGUGAAACUAACUGAACGUCUGAACCGACUAAUGUUGAAGAAUCAGCGGAUAAGUUGUCGUUAAGGCUAAAAUGCCACUCGAACUCAAAGCUAGCUAGUUCUCCCCGAAAUGCAUGAGGCGUAGCAGUUGACUGGACAUCUAAGGGUAAAGCAUUGUUUUGGUGCGUGCCGCGAGAGUGGUACCAAAUUGAGGCAAACUCUAACUACUAGAUAUGACCUCAAAAUAACAGGGGUCGAGGUAAACCAGUGAGACAAUAGGUUAUAAGCUUCAUCAUCGAGAGGGAAACAACCUGGAUCACCAGCUAAGGCCCCUAAAUGAUCGCUUAGUGAUAAAGGAGGUAGGGUGUAGAGACAUCUAGGAGGUUUGCCUAGAAGCAGCCACCCUUGAAAGAGUGUGUAAUAGCUUACUGAUCAAGCGCUCUUGCGCUGAAGAUGAAUGGGGCUAAGCGAUCUGCCGAAGAUGUGGGAUGUAAAAAUACAUUGGUAGGGGAGCUUUCAGUCUUAGGGGGAAGCACCCGCGUGAGUGGGAGUAGAUGAAGCAAAAGCGAGAAUGUCGGCUUGUGUAACACAAACAUUGGUGGGAAUCGAAUGCCCUGAAAACCCAAGGGUUCCUCCGCAAGGUUCGUCCACAGAGGGUGAAUUAGGGCCUAAGAUCAGGCUGAAUGGCAUAGUCAAUGGAGAACAGGUGAAUAUUCCUAUACUACCCCUUGUUGGUCCUGAGAGACGGAGGAGGCUAAAUUAGCCAAAAGAUGGUUAUCGGUUCAAGGACGCAAGGUGCCCCUAUUUUUUCAGGCUAAGAAGGGGUUGAGAAAAUGCCCCGAGCCAAUGUUUGAGUACCAGGCACUACGACGUUGAAGUAACCCAUGCUAUACUCCCAAGAAAAGCUCGAAAGACCUUUAACAAAAGGAUACCUAAGGGCGCGAGACAACUCUCUCUAAGGAACUCGGGAAAAUAGCCCCAUAAGUUUAGGAGAACGGGUGCCUCCUCAAAAAGGGGGUCGUAGUGACCAGGCCCGGGUGGCUAUUUACCAAAAACAUAGGUCUCAGCAAAGUCGUAAGACCAUGUAUNCCUAAGAUCAGGCUGAAUGGCAUAGUCAAUGGAGAACAGGUGAAUAUUCCUAUACUACCCCUUGUUGGUCCUGAGAGACGGAGGAGGCUAAAUUAGCCAAAAGAUGGUUAUCGGUUCAAGGACGCAAGGUGCCCCUAUUUUUUCAGGCUAAGAAGGGGUUGAGAAAAUGCCCCGAGCCAAUGUUUGAGUACCAGGCACUACGACGUUGAAGUAACCCAUGCUAUACUCCCAAGAAAAGCUCGAAAGACCUUUAACAAAAGGAUACCUAAGGGCGCGAGACAACUCUCUCUAAGGAACUCGGGAAAAUAGCCCCAUAAGUUUAGGAGAACGGGUGCCUCCUCAAAAAGGGGGUCGUAGUGACCAGGCCCGGGUGGCUAUUUACCAAAAACAUAGGUCUCAGCAAAGUCGUAAGACCAUGUAUGGGGGAGCCAGCGAACGAAGCUCCAGUGAGCGGCAGUCGUAACUAGAACAGUCCUAAGGUAGCGAAAUUCCUUGUCGGGUUAGUUUCGACCCGUAUGAAAGGCGUAAUGAUCUGGGCACUGUCUCAGAGAGAGGCUCAGUGAAAUAGACAUGUCUGUGAAGAUGCAGACUACCCGCACCUGGAUAGAAAGACCCUAUGAAGCUUCACUAUUCCCUGGGAUUGGCUUUGGGCCUUUCUUUAGCAGCUUAGGUGGAAGGCAAAGAAGGCCUCCUUCCGUGGAGCCCGAGCCAUUAGUGAGAUACCACUCUGGAAGAGCUAGAAUUAUAACCUUGUGUCAGGACCUAUGGGCCAAGGGACAGUCUCAGGUAGACAGUUUCUAUGGGGCGUAGGCAUGUCAAAAGGUAGCGGAGGCGUGCAAAGGUUUCCUCGGGCGGAUGGAGAUUGGCCCUCGAGUGCAAAAGAAGGGAGCUUGACUGCAAGACCCACCGGUCGAACAGGGACGAAAGUUAACCUUAGUGAUCCGAUAGUGCCAAGUGGAAGGGCCGUCGCUCAACGAAUAAAAGUUACUCUAGGUAUAACAGGCUAAUCUUCCCUAAGAGCUCACAUCGACAAGAAGGUUUGGCACCUCGAUGUCGGCUCUUCACUACUUGGGGCUGUAGUAUGUUCCAAGGGUUGGGCUGUUUACCCAUUAAAGCCAUACGUGAGCUGGGUUCAGAACGUAGUGAGACAGUUCAGUCCAUAUCUAGUGUGGGUGUUAGAGCAUUGAGAGGACCUUUCCCUAGUAAGAAAGGACCAGGAAGGACGCACCUCUGGUGUACCAAUUAUCGUGCCCAUGAUAAAUGUUGGGCAGCAAAGUGCGGAGCGAGUAACUGCUGAAAGCAUCUAAGUAGUAAGUCCACCCCAAGUUGUGUGCUCUCCUAUUCCGAAUUCCCCAGAGCCUCUGGUAGCAUAGCCGAGAUGGCAAGGGGUUCUCUGUCCCUACGAGGAUCGAAUGACAAAAAUUUUGAGAAUUCAAAAGAAGGUCACAGCGAGACAAGUCGUUUAUCAUUACGAUAGGUGUCAAGUGGAACUGCAGUGAUGUAUUCAGCUGAGGCAUCCUAACAGACGGGGAGACUUGAAACU
rnacentral:rRNA from 1 species